AGAGUUUGAUCCUGGCUCAGGAUGAACGCUAGCGGCAGGCUUAACACAUGCAAGUCGAGGGGCAGCGUGGAGCAGCAAUGCUCUGACGGCGACCGGCGGAAGGGUGCGUAACACGUGAGCGACUUGCCCGUCACAGGGGGAUAACCGGCGGAAACGGCGACUAAUACCCCAUAUGAUGUGAUGCUGCAUGGCAUUGCAUUGAAAGAUUCAUCGGUGGCGGAUAGGCUCGCGGGACAUUAGCUAGACGGCGGGGCAACGGCCCACCGUGGCGACGAUGUCUAGGGGUUCUGAGAGGAAGACCCCCCACACUGGGACUGAGACACGGCCCAGACUCCUACGGGAGGCAGCAGUGAGGAAUAUUGGUCAAUGGGCGGAAGCCUGAACCAGCCAUGCCGCGUGAAGGACUAAGGCCCUACGGGUCGUAAACUUCUUUAGACGCAGAGCAAUAAGGUCCACGUGUGGACCGAUGAGAGUAUGCGUAGAAUAAGCAUCGGCUAACUCCGUGCCAGCAGCCGCGGUAAUACGGGGGAUGCGAGCGUUAUCCGGAUUCAUUGGGUUUAAAGGGUGCGUAGGCGGCCGAGUAAGUCAGCGGUGAAAGACCGGGGCUCAACCCUGGAAGUGCCGUUGAUACUGUUUGGCUGGAAUGAUCCCGCCGCGGGAGGAAUGAGUGGUGUAGCGGUGAAAUGCAUAGAUAUCACUCAGAACACCGAUUGCGAAGGCACCUCGCGAGGGGUCAAUUGACGCUGAGGCACGAAAGCGUGGGGAUCGAACAGGAUUAGAUACCCUGGUAGUCCACGCAGUAAACGAUGAUGGCUAACUGUCGGGCCUACGGGUUCGGCGGCCAAGCGAAAGCGAUAAGCCAUCCACCUGGGGAGUACGACCGCAAGGUUGAAACUCAAAGGAAUUGACGGGGGCCCGCACAAGCGGAGGAACAUGUGGUUUAAUUCGAUGAUACGCGAGGAACCUUACCCAGGCUCGAACGGCAGCUGAAUUGAGUAGAGAUAUUCAAGUCUUCGGACAGUUGUCGAGGUGCUGCAUGGUUGUCGUCAGCUCGUGCCGUGAGGUGUCGGCUUAAGUGCCAUAACGAGCGCAA
rnacentral:rRNA from 1 species